CAGUCGCCGCGGGAAUACGAAGGGUGCAAGCGUUAAUCGGAAUUACUGGGCGUAAAGCGUGCGCAGGCGGUGAGUUAAGUCUGCUGUGAAAUCCCCGGGCUCAACCUGGGAACUGCAUCUGUGACUGCAUAGCUAGAGUACGGUAGAGGGGGAUGGAAUUCCGCGUGUAGCAGUGAAAUGCGUAGAUAUGCGGAGGAACACCGAUGGCGAAGGCAAUCCCCUGGACCUGUACUGACGCUCAUGCACGAAAGCGUGGGGAGCAAACAGGAUUAGAUACCCCAGUAGUCCCUGUCUCUUAUAC
rnacentral:rRNA from 1 species